UUGAAGGUCUCCUAAAGCUAAAAAGUUACUUUGUAUAAACUGUUGAAUAAAGAUAAACCACAGGGGACCAUCCCCAGUCAAAGGCAGGCGGUGUUUCUGUCACAGCAUGUAAGUGUUAAGGAGAAAAGAAGUUGUGUGAACUUGAAAUAAAAUAAUCCAACUUUCUUAAAUCCAUGUUUAAAUACCAAAUCCGUAUGAAGAGGAACUGCCCGCCUCUCUCAGGCAGCCGAUGAUCCCCACCGAAUGUCACUCCUGAUGUACUGCUCUAUGGGGAUAUGGUCUUAUCUGUGACACACCGAGGGAAGAACCACCGCCUGGACGCUCUGCUACUGCUAGUAAGGAGUUUUGUUACAUGCACUGAGUUGUGUACAUGCUGCACUCCGUUGUCCUGGAAAGCAUGGAUAAACAGCAUUAUCCCAUACUCUACGGAAUGUAGGAAAAUCAGUUCCUCCAGUCAGGCUACUGCACGGCUACACAGCCAGGCACGCUAGCUCAAAGCACAGUAACACACGGAACGGAGAACAAGUGAAUGGGCAGCAGUGAUUCUGGAUUACAGAAAAACCCUGAACAACCAAAGUUCUGAUAACCAAAAGCUCUGAUUCAUAACCAUACUGGAUUAAUCAUGGUGGUGCAAAAGGUUACUGCCCCAGAUGUCUGCCCCCCCCUUAUCUUCAAGGUCUCUCUGUUGGAAGUUAUCUCUUCAGUCACUGCAGCUAAACCCAGCAAGGAAUGGGAAUUAAACACAUCUGGUGGUUCCUGAGGAUGGGAAAGUGUGAACAUGAUGGAUCCCUCUCAAGUCCUGGAAAAAACUGUAUUUCCAAAGUCCUGUGCUCUAUGUCCCAGUCCAACUCUUACUAAAGGAAAGAGGCUGACCAGUUACAAACAGAAAUGGAAGAUGAUGGAAGAGCAGGCAAAACGAGUUCUGCAGCUUAAA